rnacentral:rRNA from 1 species
AGCAGCCGCGGUAAUUCCAGCUCCAAUAGCGUAUAUUAAAGUUGUUGCAGUUAAAAAGCUCGUAGUUGAAUUUCGGGAUUGACACAUCGGUCGUGCCUUAAGGGGUAUGAACUGGUGUAGUCAAUUUCUCACCUUCUGGAGAACCGCGAUGCCCUUAAUUGGGUGUCACGGGGAACCAGGACCUUUACUUUGAAAAAUUAGAGUGUUUAAAGCAGGCAUUUUGCUUGAAUACAUUAGCAUGGAAUAAUAAAAUAGGACGGCAUGAUUCUAUUUUGUUGGUUUCUAGGAUCACCGUAAUGAUUAAUAGGGAUAGUUGGGGGCAUUAGUAUUCAAUUGUCAGAGGUGAAAUUCUUGGAUUUAUUGAAGACUAACUACUGCGAAAGCAUUUGCCAAGGAUGUUUUCAUUAAUCUAAGAACGAAAGUUAGGGGAUCGAAGACGAUCAGAUACCG